UGAGGAAUAUUGGUCAAUGGGCGAGAGCCUGAACCAGCCAAGUAGCGUGCAGGAUGACGGCCCUAUGGGUUGUAAACUGCUUUUACGCGGGGAUAAAGUGCGUGACGUGUCGCGCAUCGCAGGUACCGCGUGAAUAAGGACCGGCUAAUUCCGUGCCAGCAGCCGCGGUAAUACGGAAGGUCCGGGCGUUAUCCGGAUUUAUUGGGUUUAAAGGGAGCGCAGGCCGCCCGAUAAGCGUGUUGUGAAAUGUACCGGCUCAACCGGUGAGUUGCAGCGCGAACUGUCAGGCUUGAGUGCACGGUAAGCAGGCGAAAUUCAUGGUGUAGCGGUGAAAUGCUUAGAUAUCAUGAGGAACUCCGAUUGCGAAGGCAGCUUGCUGCAGUGCGACUGACGCUUAGGCUCGAAAGUGCGGGUAUCAAACAGG
rnacentral:rRNA from 1 species